CACACACACACACACAGUGGAAGAGCAACAGAGAUACUUCUCAGUGGCUGUUAUGUGCGCAGAACAGUCCAGCGAUGAAAUCCGCGCACCUGAUUUAGAGGCAUUACGGUAGCGCAGCAAACCGUGCCCCGCACACACAUACACACACACACACACAUGCUCAACACUUGCGCGCACACACACUCAGUCCAAGUGAUUCAACCCUGAUUUCCAGCGAUCGAGCAACAGACAGGAUGCCAAAAAGUGCACACCGGUGGAGAGGUUCUGCGCGCUGAACGAGCCUCCUGAAAAAGAACCGGAGAAGGAAAACCAGGAGCAAACUAAAGAAACGACAUCAACAAAAGACGAGAAGCCGCGCUGUUUCUCCGUGACAACUUGCGCGCACAGUGCCCAGAGUUUUCAGAGGCAGUAUUGUUCCGACUUCACUCCAGAGGGGCCACUCCGAGGAGAGAGGACGCACACAAAAGGAGAAAAAAAGGAAACGGACUAACGAGCCACGCUUUACCCAUUUAAACUUAAUGCUCCUGCGGUCUUAGAUCCCACAUUUCUCCCGUGUCUCCCAGUUUCUUUUCUGUUUUUUUUUUUUUUUUUUUUUUUUUUUUGUAAUUUUUCGUCCAGUCGGUUUGUGUCCCCCCACUCACCACCACCUCUCCUUUUGUCGCCGCGUGAGAGAGAGUGGACGCGCCGGGGUCUGAGGAGCAGAAGCGGGGCAGUCCACAUGGUCCAACCACUGGCGUGAAAGUUGACUUCUUCAGAAACCAAGAGAACAGGUGCCAGUGAUGAUGGUGGAAUCAGCUUCUGAGACCAUUCGAACAACGCCGUCCAACCAAAACGGAGUCAGCAGCCUCAGCAGCCAAUCGGACGGAGGGGGAGGUAGAGAGGGCGGGUCCAAUGGAGACGCCAAUGGAGAGAUCAGCCCGGUCGACUUACUGCACCUGCAGCAGCAACAGGUGUGUGUGUGUGUGUGUGUGUGUGUGUGUGUGUGUGUGUGUGUGUGUGUGUAUUUAGACUGAUGUUUACAGGUAGGCGUGUUGUGCAACAGCUACUUUGGAACUGAUGAACUUCUGUAGAACAGCAUGUACUCACCAGACGGUUAUAUAAUGUACAGAUGUGACAACACACACUUGGCCAGACUCGGGUAAUUGUCGGUCCUGCUUGUGUGGGGAGGUGAAACACUCUGACAAGUUGGCUCGUCGCUGCUUUAAUUAUUCACUUUUCAGAAUAAAUUCCUCUGGGAACAAGUCCAUCGUAAGAUUCCAUUCACACAAAGAUUUCACUCAUUUACUGUUAGUUGAAAUGGAGAGAAACAUUUAUUUAAUAUCCUUAAAUUGAUCCACACACACACACACGACUAAAGCAGAGUUAAAUUUUCAUGUUCUUUCUCUCUUUCUUUUCUCUUUGUAAAAUUAGCUUGUGUUUCUCUGACACGUCAGCCCAGAGUGUCAGACGUUUGUCUCAGACACACUCACUCUCUCCAUUGUUUCUGAAAAAUAUCCAGAAAAUUCUUGGAUCACAGUUUUUACUGGAUUCCCACUUUCACUCAGAACUCUUUGCUGACACACACACACACACACACACACACACACACACACACACACACACACACACACACACACACACACACACACACACACACACACACACACACACAUGGACCAAGCAGCUUUUCAGCCAAAUCGGGAACUCUGUUUGGUUAAUCCAGUUCCAGAUUAACAAGAAGCUGUAUCUUCCAUUCUGAUUAAAUCCAGAUGACUUAUAAAAAAGUUUUUAUCAUUAGUGUCCUUCUGCUGCAGCACGGAUCACAAAUGACUCGCUCACACUUGAACUGGCCAAAGAGCUGCAGGUGGCAGACCCCUGGUCUAAAACAAAAAUGUCUCGCACAGAAAUCACGCUUUCCCCCAUUUGUGUAUUUAUUAGUUGGUCGGUGGAGGGUCCGUGUGUGUGUGUGUGUGUGUGUGUGUGUGUGUGUGUGUGUGUGUGUGUGUGUGUGUGUGUGUGUGUUCUGACACACCCAGUCUCUGCUUAAGGAAGCCCAGGGGGAAGAAAAAUCAGGGUUUCCUCCCUGCUGCUAAAAUUAUUUCCCCUAAUUAUAAUGAUGGAGCCGUUGGUGAAUGAAGAACACUCGAAGCCCUUCACUCCUGGACCACCCUCCUCCUCCUCCUCACUGCAUCCUCACCCUGCUUCCUCAGCAACCUUCAGGACACACACACACACACACACACACACACACACACACACACACAUACACACACACACACACACACACACACACACACACACACACACA